UGCGGCAGCCUACACAUGCAGUCGAGCGGCAGCGGGAAGUAGCUUGCUACUUUGCCGGCGAGCGGCGGACGGGUGAGUAAUGUCUGGGAAACUGCCCGAUGGAGGGGGAUAACUACUGGAAACGGUGGCUAAUACCGCAUAACGUCUUCGGACCAAAGUGGGGGACCUUCGGGCCUCACACCAUCGGAUGUGCCCAGAUGGGAUUAGCUAGUAGGUGGGGUAACGGCUCACCUAGGCGACGAUCCCUAGCUGGUCUGAGAGGAUGACCAGCCACACUGGAACUGAGACACGGUCCAGACUCCUACGGGAGGCAGCAGUGGGGAAUAUUGCACAAUGGGCGCAAGCCUGAUGCAGCCAUGCCGCGUGUGUGAAGAAGGCCUUCGGGUUGUAAAGCACUUUCAGCGAGGAGGAAGGCAGUCGUGUUAAUAGCACGGUUGAUUGACGUUACUCGCAGAAGAAGCACCGGCUAACUCCGUGCCAGCAGCCGCGGUAAUACGGAGGGUGCAAGCGUUAAUCGGAAUUACUGGGCGUAAAGCGCACGCAGGCGGUUUGUUAAGUCAGAUGUGAAAUCCCCGCGCUUAACGUGGGAACUGCAUUUGAAACUGGCA
rnacentral:rRNA from 1 species